UUGUUAAUAUUAAAAGUAAACCAAACUCACAUAAUUUAUGAGUAUUGGUUUAUCGCCCUAGUUUUUAUCAUUAGCUAGAAGUAAAUUGAAUUUUAAAAAAGAUCAAGUUAAACUUUGCAAAAUAUCAAUUUAAUAUAUUUCACCUGAGAUAUAUGAUUUUUUAGACCUUAUUUAGAAAAGCUUUUUCAAUUUAGAAAAUAUUUCACUUGAGAUAUAA
rnacentral:lncRNA from 1 species